rnacentral:rRNA from 1 species
GAUGAACGCUGGCGGCGUGCCUAAUACAUGCAAGUCGAGCGAACAGACGAGGAGCUUGCUCCUCUGACGUUAGCGGCGGACGGGUGAGUAACACGUGGAUAACCUACCUAUAAGACUGGGAUAACUUCGGGAAACCGGAGCUAAUACCGGAUAAUAUAUUGAACCGCAUGGUUCAAUAGUGAAAGACGGUUUUGCUGUCACUUAUAGAUGGAUCCGCGCCGCAUUAGCUAGUUGGUAAGGUAACGGCUUACCAAGGCAACGAUGCGUAGCCGACCUGAGAGGGUGAGCGGCUACACAGGAACUGAGAAACGGACCAGACUCCUACGGGAGGCAGCGGUAGGGAAUCUUCUGAAAUGGCAACAAGCCUGCAGGAGCAACGCCGCGGGAGUGAUGAAGGUCUUCGGAUCGUAAAACUCUGUUAUUAGGGAAGAACAAAUGUGUAAGUAAUUAUGCUCGUCUUGACGGUACCUAAUCAGAAAGCCACGGCUAACUACGG